rnacentral:rRNA from 1 species
GACGAACGCUGGCGGCGUGCCUAAUACAUGCAAGUCGAACGCAGUUGGGACGGGUGAGUAACACGUGGCUAACCUCCCAUCAGAGGGGAUAACACUUGGAAACAGGCGCUAAACCGACACUGAUGGAUGGACCCGCGGUGCAUUAGCUAGUUGGUGAGGUAACGGCUCACCAAGGCCACGAUGCAUACCAGACCGGAGAGGGUGCUCGGCCACACUGGGACUGAGACAGGGCCCAGACUCCUACGGGAGGCGGCAGUAGGGAAGCUUCGGCAAUGGAGGAAAGUCUGACCGGGAAACGCGGCGUGAGUGAGGAAGGUUUUCGGAUCGUAAGACUCUGUUGUUAGAGAAGCGGUAUCUAACCAGAAAGCCACGGCUAACUACGUGCCAGCAGCCGCGGUAAUUC